CCUACGGGUGGCAGCAGUGAGGAAUAUUGGUCAAUGGGCGUAAGCCUGAACCAGCCAAGUCGCGUGAGGGAUGAAGGUUCUAUGAAUCGUAAACCGCUUUUAUACGGGAAUAAAGUGCGGGACGUGUCCAGUUUUGUAAGUAUCGUACGAAUAAGGAUCGGCUAACUCCGUGCCAGCAGCCGCGGUAAUACGGAGGAUCCAAGCGUUAUCCGGAUUUAUUGGGUUUAACGGGUGCGUAGGCGGCCUUUUAAGUCAUAGGUGAAAGUCUGUGGCUCAACCAUAGAAUUGCCGUUGAAACUGGUAGGCUUGAGUAUGUUUGAGGCAGGCGGAAUGCAUGGUGUAGCGGUGAAAUGCUUAGAUAUCACACAGAACCCCGAUUGCGAAGGCAGCCUGCCAAGCCAUGUCUGACGCUGAUGCACGAAAGCGUGGGGAUCAAACAGGAUUAGAUACCCUUGUAGUC
rnacentral:rRNA from 1 species